AUGAAUAAAAACGAUAAGCAAAAAGAUGAUAUGAAUAAAAACGAUAAGCAAAAAGAUGAUAUGAAUAAAAACGAUAAGCAAAAAGACAAUAUGAACAUCUCUGUAGUAAAUUGCAAAGACAUCAUCGUGCAUAAGAAUAACACAAGUAAAGAUCUCAAUUGCAAUAGCAACACUUUGAACUUAACUAAUAAUAUAAUAAACGACGAAGAUAAUUUGUUUAUAUUGAAUAAUAAACAUAACACUAAUGGUACUAAUAAUAAUUAUAAUAAUAACACACUAAACAAUAAUAGUUUUGAAAAUGCAUAUAAUAGUGUAAAUGAAAGAAAAAAAAAUGGAUGUAUUACUACAGUUGGUGCUUUUAAUUUUACUAAUAUAGCUACUGGUAGUCGCUUCACAACAAAAAAAAAAAAAAAAAAUAAAGAGCGAACGUUUGAUAAUUAUUUAAAACAAAUUAUAAACGAAGAAGACUUAAACUACGUUGCUAAGCCAUCCGAAACAUUUAAUUUAUAUAACAUAAUAAUGAAUAAAUUAUAUGACGAAACUUUAAUGAAUGAUAUAAUAACAUAUGAAAAAUUUAAAAAGAAAAACAAUACAGAAUUUAAUCAUAUAAUUUAUAAAGAAUUUACAAUACACAGUAAUUAUUAUAAUGAACAAUAUAAUAAAGAAACCUUGAAUCAAUUUAUUUCUUUAUUUUAUACAAAUGAGUUUGCAAAUAGAUAUUUGAAGAAGAAUGAACAAAGAAAUGUGAAUUGUGCGCAGAGAAAAGCAAAGAAGCGAACAGAAGUAGCAGCAUACGACAACAACAGUGGCUAUAACAACGAUGGCCAUAACAACAGUAACUACGACUGUACCAACAGUAACUACGACUGUACCAACAGUAACUACGACUGUACCAACAGUAACUAUGACUGUACCAACAGCAACUACGACAACAACGACUACAAUAAAAAUAUAUCUAUUCCUAAGUUAACGAACAGUGUAAAUUCCAAACACAUUAACCCAGUUCAAGCAUUUUUUGAAUAUACAAAUAAAUAUUUGAGUUACUCUAGUAAUAAUACAGAGUUGAUAGAAAAUGACCCAAUAAACACUAACAAAACGAACAACAAAAUUGAUGAAAUAAUAAUGUCAAAUAAAGAAAAACAAAAUUUUAAAAGUUAUAUGCCAUAUGAUGAACACGAAACUGAAACAGGAUUUAGUUAUUUAAUAGAUGAAAAAAAAAAAAAAAAAAAUAUGGACAAAAUAAACAAUAAUAUAUUUAAUAAUGAUAGUUUUUAUAAUUGUUUUGAAAAAAAACAAAACUUUAGCCCCAUGAGUAUAAAUAAUUAUGACAAUCAUGUUUACAAUCAACUUCACAUAAAUAAUUAUAACUACUCUAAUGAAAAAAUAAUUAACCGUGAUGAUUCAGAUUAUAAUGAUAGCAAUUUAUUUAUAGACUCUACAGACGACAUGAGUGAUGAAGUAGAAAUGUCAAAUGGAUAUGUGACUUGCAAUUUUUAUGUACAUAAACCUAUAUACAUAUUUGACGAACAAAAUGAACUAAACAACAUGAGCAAAAUGAAUUUUAAACAAAAUGAAUGUGAUAAAAAUAUUACAUUAAAUUAUCAAAAGAAUAAAAAAAAUGAAACAGGAAAAAAUAACCAUAAUAAAUAUAACUAUGAAGUUAAAUGUAACCCAAAUGUUAAUGCAUUACAAAAAAUGUAA
ensembl:lncRNA